AAAGGAAGGAACAGCGUGACUUAAGGAAGGAACGACAACAAGUCAGGCUUUUGGCAGCCAUCAUGACAAGACCUAACCCACCUCCUGGUUAUCCCGAAAGUACUCCCAGAGGACCUCGUCCAGGAAGGGGAGCCUGUUUUAGCUGUGGGAGCCCUGAACACCGGAGCAAGGAAUGCCCAGGAAACAGGUCCCAGCCUACACCCAAAACACCAUGCCCGCUCUGCAAGAAGAUGGGCUAUUGGAGGAGGGAAUGCCCCCAGUUCCAAAGGGAGCAAGGAAGUUCCCCCAUGCCAGUCAUGGCAGUGGUUGACUGAUGGGACCCAAGACCUCCCAAGGCUCCCAAAUAGACCGUCAUCAUCACACAGGAGGAACUGUUGGGUGACUACGGACGUGGCAGAACACAACAAUUCCUACUUCAAAUGACGCUAUGCCAGGGAUUUCAACCCAUCCCACCUGAAGAAGGGGACCAUCAACACCUGCUGGACAAGGAAUUACCUAGGAAGUGGAAGGACCUGAAAAGAUUGUGCGUGAAGUACCCCCUUGGCCGUCCAAUGAAGUGUCUGUUAUCAGAAGGAAAUGUGUACUUUUUGAGGCGAGAUCAGUUAUGUGCUCUGAACCGAAUGAUUUUUUGUUUUUUUUUUUCUGAUAACAAGCUGGUGGUAAGCUUCACUGAACUGAGAAAUUGUAAACUCUUAGAAAAAGCUGUCUAAAGAUAACAAUUCAAUGUUUCUCCGUAAUGUAUUCUGGAUGAAUCUGAUCAUUUAAAGCCCACUUCACCAAAAUGGGAGCGGUGCUGGCAUCCUCUUUAUCUUCAAUUACGUCUAAUCUGUUUCCAAUUCAAACACUGUGUU